UACGUAGGUGGCAAGCGUUAUCCGGAUUUACUGGGUGUAAAGGGCGUGCAGCCGGGCUGACAAGUCAGAUGUGAAAUCCCGCGGCUCAACCGCGGAACUGCAUUUGAAACUGUCAGUCUUGAGUACCGGAGAGGUCAUCGGAAUUCCUUGUGUAGCGGUGAAAUGCGUAGAUAUACGGAGGAACACCAGUGGCGAAGGCGGAUUGCUGGACAGUAACUGACGCUGAGGCGCGAAAGCGUGGGGAGCAAAAAGG
rnacentral:rRNA from 1 species